rnacentral:rRNA from 1 species
GACAGAGGGUGCAAACGUUGCUCGGAAUCACUGGGCGUAAAGGGCGUGUAGGCGGGAAGGAAAGUCGGGCGUGAAAUCCCUGGGCUCAACCCCAGGAACUGCACUCGAAACUUCUUUUCUUGAGUGCCGGAGAGGAAAGCGGAAUUCCUGGUGUAGAGGUGAAAUUCGUAGAUAUCAGGAGGAACACCAGUGGCGAAGGCGGCUUUCUGGACGGGUAACUGACGCUGAGACGCGAAAGCGUGGGGAGCAAACAGG